AAGUCGUAACAAGGUUUCCGUAGGUGAACCUGCGGAAGGAUCAUUACAAUACGUUACUUCACGUAUCAACCAAACUGUUGAACUGUUUAUGCGUCCGAUAGGAGAGAUGGGUUAUGUUAUGAGGGAAUCGAUGGCUUUGGAAGCUACGCGCUUCGGUCGGUUUCUUUUUUUCUGUUGGUUCUUCGGAUCAUCAGAAAGCCCUUUUUUCCUAGUUCGCGUAUUUUCAUUUUACUUUUUUUACCCCUUUCACCAAACUAUUUAUUUAAACAACUGUUGAACUUAUGAUGUGAUUGCUGAAAAGCGAUCUCUUAUAUAUUUCUUUACGAAACGUAAGAACAACUCUUAACAACGGAUAUCUUGGCUCUC
rnacentral:misc_RNA from 1 species